rnacentral:rRNA from 1 species
AUUGAACGCUGGCGGCGUGCCUAACACAUGCAAGUCGAGCGGUAACAGGUGUAGCAAUACAUGCUGACGAGCGGCGGACGGGUGAGUAACGCUUGGGAAGUCUGCCUAUUAGUGGGGGACGAACCCGGGAAACGUCGGGCGUAAUACCGCAUACGCUCUACGGAGGAAAGCCGGGGACCGGCAAGGCCUGGCGCUAAUAGAUGAGCCCAAGUCGGAUUAGCUAGUUGGUAGGGUAAUGGCCUACCAAGGCGACGAUCCGUAACUGGUCUGAGAGGACGACCAGUCACACCGGAACUGAGACACGGUCCGGACUCCUACGGGAGGCAGCAGCAACGAAUAUUCCGCAAUGGACGCAAGUCUGACGGAGCGACGCCGCGUGUAGGAUGAAGUCC